AAAACACUGAUUUUCUCAAUGAUAUGGAUCCAUAUGUGAUCUUAACUUAUAGAUCUCAGGAGAAAAAGAGUACUGUUGCAUCAGGGAAGGGAUGUGAACCAGAAUGGAAUGAAACAUUUGUUUUCUCCAUUUCUGAGGAUGCUGAAGAACUCUUCUUGAAGAUAAUGGACAGUGAUUCUAUCGGCGAGGACGAUAUUGUUGGGGAAGCUAAGAUACCAAUUGAACCAGUUUUUUCAGAAGGGAGCAUCCCAAUAACAUGUUAUAAUGUUGUUAAAGAUGAGGAAUAUUGUGGAGAAAUUAAAGUUGGUCUCACCUUUACUCCUGAGGAAUAUUCUGAGAGGGAGUAUGAAGAAGAGAACCUUGGUGGAUGGAAAGAGUCUUCUUAUUGAUGUGAAGCAUUACUCGACUGAUCAAUUUGUUCUUGCUUAAAUUAUGAACUUAUCUUACCCGUUAUAACAUUUUCAAGUGUUAAAAGUGUGGAUUUCAUAUAGUAAA
rnacentral:misc_RNA from 1 species